ACUUGUUUAUUUACAGAAUCGGACUGGGAUACGGACACUUUCAGUCCAGCCAAGAAGACAGCUUCACUGCCAAAUGUCACUGAGCCUGAUGCAGUUCGUCAGCAGAAACCCAAAGCUGAAGAUGCAGAGAGUGAAGACAGUUCUGACGCAAGCGAAGAUGUAGAUCAGGGUGGUAAGGAACAGGCGGAUGGCAUGAGGGGAGAACACCAGCCCGGUGUUUUAUGGGAUACUAGAGGAACCAGAGAACGAGGUGAACUUGACCAAGGAAAAGGGAAGAAAACUGACACCAACUCUGGGAACCCAAAACCUAAACAGGACGGGAUGGCUGACAGCAGGUCUUUGGGAAGAGAGGGUAGUGUUUCGCCAAGACAUCUGACAAGAAGUCAGAGAAGUACUGACAGGGCACCACCACAUGGUGAGGAAGAUGAGGAGGAGGAAAAGAAAACUGUAGGUAGCCAAGCCAGAAAUCUCUGUGUAGCUCCCCCUCUGCAGGGCAAACCCUCCCGACCUGCGACCCGCCAUAACGGAGACCUCGAGUCUGUCUUUGAUGAUAGUACUUUAAGUGAGCUGUCGGAAGAGGACAGGAGGUAUACAUGCAGUAUUUACAUGCUUUUAAAUUUAAUGAAUCAUUUACAGCUCAAUUUUAUAUGUUGCAGUGUUGCAGCAGCAAUAUUUUAA
ensembl:lncRNA